rnacentral:tRNA from 1 species
UCCUCUUUAGCUCAGCUGGUUAGAGCAUCUGACUGUUAAUCAGAGGGUCCUUGGUUCGAGUCCAAGAAGAGGAGCGA